ACGUUAGCGGCGGACGGGUUGAGUAACACGUGGGCAACCUGCCUGUAAGACUGGGAUAACUUCGGGAAACCGAAGCUAAUACCGGAUAGGAUCUUCUCCUUCAUGGGAGAUGAUUGAAAGAUGGUUUCGGCUAUCACUUACAGAUGGGCCCGCGGUGCAUUAGCUAGUUGGUGAGGUAACGGCUCACCAAGGCAACGAUGCAUAGCCGACCUGAGAGGGUGAUCGGCCACACUGGGACUGAGACACGGCCCAGACUCCUACGGGAGGCAGCAGUAGGGAAUCUUCCGCAAUGGACGAAAGUCUGACGGAGCAACGCCGCGUGAGUGAUGAAGGCUUUCGGGUCGUAAAACUCUGUUGUUAGGGAAGAACAAGUACGAGAGUAACUGCUCGUACCUUGACGGUACCUAACCAGAAAGCCACGGCUAACUACGUGCCAGCAGCCGCGGUAAUACGUAGGUGGCAAGCGUUAUCCGGAAUUAUUGGGCGUAAAGCGCGCGCAGGCGGUUUCUUAAGUCUGAUGUGAAAGCCCACGGCUCAACCGUGGAGGGUCAUUGGAAACUGGGGAACUUGAGUGCAGAAGAGAAAAGCGGA
rnacentral:rRNA from 1 species